AGGACGAACGCUGGCGGCGUGCUUAACACAUGCAAGUCGAACGGAAAGGCCCUUCGGGGUACUCGAGUGGCGAACGGGUGAGUAACACGUGGGUGAUCUGCCCCGCACUUUGGGAUAAGCCUGGGAAACUGGGUCUAAUACCGAAUAGGACCAUGGCAUGCAUGUGCUGUGGUGGAAAGCUUUUGCGGUGUGGGAUGGGCCCGCGGCCUAUCAGCUUGUUGGUGGGGUUAAGGCCUACCAAGGCGACGACGGGUAGCCGGCCUGAGAGGGUGUCCGGCCACACUGGGACUGAGAUACGGCCCAGACUCCUACGGGAGGCAGCAGUGGGGAAUAUUGCACAAUGGGCGCAAGCCUGAUGCAGCGACGCCGCGUGGGGGAUGACGGCCUUCGGGUUGUAACCCUUUCAGUAGGGACGAAGCGCAAGUGACGGUACCUACAGAAGAAGCACCGGCCAACUACGUGCCAGCAGCCGC
rnacentral:rRNA from 1 species